AUCUAUACUGUGAAACUGCGAAUGGCUCAUUAAAUCAGUUAUCGUUUAUUUGAUAGUACCUUACUACUUGGAUAACCGUGGUAAUUCUAGAGCUAAUACAUGCUAAAAACCCCGACUUCGGAAGGGGUGUAUUUAUUAGAUAAAAAACCAAUGCCCUUCGGGGCUCCUUGGUGAUUCAUGAUAACUUAAACGAAUCGCAUGGCCUUGCGCCGGCGAUGGUUCAUUCAAAUUUCUGCCCUAUCAACUUUCGAUGGUAGGAUAGUGGCCUACCAUGGUAUCAACGGGUAACGGGGAAUUAGGGUUCUAUUCCGGAGAGGGAGCCUGAGAAACGGCUACCACAUCCAAGGAAGGCAGCAGGCGCGCAAAUUACCCAAUCCCGACACGGGGAGGUAGUGACAAUAAAUACUGAUACAGGGCUCUUUUGGGUCUUGUAAUUGGAAUGAGUACAAUUUAAAUACCUUAACGAGGAACAAUUGGAGGGCAAGUCUGGUGCCAGCAGCCGCGGUAAUUCCAGCUCCAAUAGCGUAUAUUAAAGUUGUUGCAGUUAAAAAGCUCGUAGUUGAACCUUGGGCCUGGCUGGCCGGUCCGCCUCACCGCGUGUACUGGUCCGGCCGGGCCUUUCCUUCUGGGGAUCCUCAUGCCCUUCACUGGGUGUGUUGGGGAACCAGGACUUUUACUUUGAAAAAAUUAGAGUGUUCAAAGCAGGCCUUUGCUCGAAUACAUUAGCAUGGAAUAAUAGAAUAGGACGUGCGGUCCUAUUUUGUUGGUUUCUAGGACCGCCGUAAUGAUUAAUAGGGAUAGUCGGGGGCAUCAGUAUUCAAUUGUCAGAGGUGAAAUUCUUGGAUUUAUUGAAGACUAACUACUGCGAAAGCAUUUGCCAAGGAUGUUUUCAUUAAUCAGUGAACGAAAGUUAGGGGAUCGAAGACGAUCAGAUACCGUCGUAGUCUUAACCGUAAACUAUGCCGACUAGGGAUCGGGCGAUGUUAUUCUUUUGACUCGCUCGGCACCUUACGAGAAAUCAAAGUCU
rnacentral:rRNA from 1 species